AACGAACGCUGGCGGCAUGCCUAACACAUGCAAGUCGAACGAGACCUUCGGGUCUAGUGGCGCACGGGUGCGUAACGCGUGGGAACCUGCCCUUAGGUUCGGAAUAACUCCCCGAAAGGGGUGCUAAUACCGGAUAAUGUCUUCGGACCAAAGAUUUAUCGCCUUUGGAUGGUCCCGCGUUGGAUUAGCUAGUUGGUAGGGUAAAAGCCUACCAAGGCGACGAUCCAUAGCUGGUCUGAGAGGAUGAUCAGCCACACUGGGACUGAGACACGGCCCAGACUCCUACGGGAGGCAGGAGUGGGGAAUAUUGGACAAUGGGCGAAAGCCUGAUCCAGCUAUGCCGCGUGAGUGAUGAAGGCCUUAGGGUUGUAAAGCUCUUUUACCCGGGAUGAUAAUGACAGUACCGGGAGAAUAAGCUCCGGCUAACUCCGUG
rnacentral:rRNA from 1 species